rnacentral:lncRNA from 1 species
GCAGUGAUCUGAUUACAUGAAAAAGAAAAUUACCAAAAAACAAGAAUCCAGAUAUUUGCAUAAAUGUGAAAUGACAAAUCAACAAUUAAAAUGAGUGUUUUUUGAUAUUCAUCAAAAAAAAAUGAAGGUCUGCUCUAACCCUGAUUGAAAUCACUCAUUGAAAUCGAGAAGCCCCAAGAAUAUCACUCAGUACAAAAAUGAAAGCCCCAAGAAUCCAGAUAUCUGCUCUAACCCUGAUUGAAAUCGUAGGUGGAGGUAGAUGAUGAAGUGAAUUAGAGACUUAGGGAUUUAGCAAUUUAAGGGAGAAUGAUGAAACAUUUCCGUGAACAAAUACUAAUCAGAAGUCCGACACUAAUUUAAAAUCACAGAGUAAACCAGCACUUACCUGGACUUGCCGGACUGGAGCUAGUUACCAAAGGACGUCGCUGAAAUGUUGGUAGUUGAUCGAAAACGCCGCUGAAACCAAAGGAAUCGCCGCUGGUGGUUGAGAACGAGAUUGGAGGAAAUGACUAAUGAGAUUGGGGGAAAUGAAAAAAAAUGAGGGAAAUAAUAUUGGGGAAAAUGAAAUAGGGGGAAUGAAAUAGUUAAAGGGGGGGAAUGAAAAUUAUUAAGUAAUUGCUAUUUGUAACGGAAUAUCCGUUAAAAAUAGUUAAAAAUCCGUUAUCAUAUAUAAGUUCAUUUUGAUAUCUAGUAUUUGUAAUGGAAACAAUAAAGUUAACGGAAAUUCCGUUACAAAUUCUGUUAACUUUGCUUAUUAGUAUUUGUAACGAAAAUUCCGUUAACCCUGCUUCGUCCGAACUGCCUACUUUUUUUUGUAGUGGGCACAUGUGCGCCAUGACGCACCAGAAACCUACCCUAUUUAAAAACAUUUAUUAAACUCACAUUAUGAAUAUGUUCAAAUAACCGUUGUUCCAUCAUUUGAAAACGUUUUUUGUGUUGUAUUUCCAACAUUUCCAUUCUUUUUUCAACGGCUUUGAAAACUGCCAAUUCAAACUUUUCAAUGUUAUGCUUCUCAGUUUUCUCAUUGGUCAUUUUCCUUCUCUUUUUAUUUGAUAACAUCGAUUCUUGACCAACUCUAAAUCCCAGAAUGAGGCCAUUUUUCUUUCCUUUUGAUGCUUUGAGCAAAGGUCCAAUAUGAUCGUUCGUAAAGAGAGACUUAUUUUAAAAUGAAGUUGAACCUUGAAACGAUAAGUUUUCGUUUUCGCUAUUUUCAUCCGAAUCAGAAUCACUAUCUUCUUGUCUUUGAAGCUCUUCAUUUAAAUUUUUAUAUUCGGC